rnacentral:rRNA from 1 species
ACUGCUCAGUAACACGUGGCUAAUCUGCCCUUAGGACGAGAACAACCCCGGGAAACUGGGGCUAACUCUCGAUAGGCGAAGAACACUGGAAUGUGUCUUCACCCAAAUAGUGCAAGGUAAUGCUCUUUGCAUCGCCUAAGGAUGAGGCCGCGGCCGAUCAGGUUGUUGGUGAGGUAAUGGCUCACCAAGCCUUUUACCGGUGCGGGCCGUGGGAGCGGGAGCCCGGAGAUGGGUACUGAGACAAGGACCCAGGCCCUACGGGGCGCAGCAGUCGCGAAAACUUUGCAAUAGGCGAAAGCCUGACAGGGCUAUCCCGAGUGCCAUCCGCUGAGGAAGGCUUUUACCCAGUCUAGAACGCUGGGGGAAUAAGGAGAGGGCAAGUCUGGUGUCAGCCGCCGCGGUAAUACCAGCUCUCCGAGUGGUGUGGAUGUUUAUUGGGCCUAAAGCAUCCGUAGCUGGCUAAGUUAGUCCCUUGUUAAAUCCACCGAAUUAAUCGUUGGAUUGCGGGGGAUACUGCUUGGCUAGGGGACGAGAGAGGCAGACGGUAUUUUCGGGGUAGGGGUGAAAUCCUAUAAUCCCGGGAAGACCACCAGUGGCGAAGGCUGUCUGCUAGAACGCGCCCGACGGUGAGGGAUGAAAGCUGGGGGAGCGAACCGGAUUAGAUACCCGGGUAGUCCCAGCUGUAAACGAUGCAGGCUAGGUGUUUGGACGGCCACGUGCCGUUCUAGUGCCGCAGGGAAGCUGUUAAGCCUGCCGCCUGGGGAGUACGAUCGCAAGAUUGAAACUUAAAGGAAUUGGCGGGGGAGCAC